AUACAUGCAAGUCGAGCGAACUGAUUAGAAGCUUGCUUCUAUGACGUUAGCGGCGGACGGGUGAGUAACACGUGGGCAACCUGCCUGUAAGACUGGGAUAACUUCGGGAAACCGAAGCUAAUACCGGAUAGGAUCUUCUCCUUCAUGGGAGAUGAUUGAAAGAUGGUUUCGGCUAUCACUUACAGAUGGGCCCGCGGUGCAUUAGCUAGUUGGUGAGGUAACGGCUCACCAAGGCAACGAUGCAUAGCCGACCUGAGAGGGUGAUCGGCCACACUGGGACUGAGACACGGCCCAGACUCCUACGGGAGGCAGCAGUAGGGAAUCUUCCGCAAUGGACGAAAGUCUGACGGAGCAACGCCGCGUGAGUGAUGAAGGCUUUCGGGUCGUAAAACUCUGUUGUUAGGGAAGAACAAGUACAAGAGUAACUGCUUGUACCUUGACGGUACCUAACCAGAAAGCCACGGCUAACUACGUGCCAGCAGCCGCGGUAAUACGUAGGUGGCAAGCGUUAUCCGGAAUUAUUGGGCGUAAAGCGCGCGCAGGCGGUUUCUUAAGUCUGAUGUGAAAGCCCACGGCUCAACCGUGGAGGGUCAUUGGAAACUGGGGAACUUGAGUGCAGAAGAGAAAAGCGGAAUUCCACGUGUAGCGGUGAAAUGCGUAGAGAUGUGGAGGAACACCAGUGGCGAAGGCGGCUUUUUGGUCUGUAACUGACGCUGAGGCGCGAAAGCGUGGGGAGCAAACAGGAUUAG
rnacentral:rRNA from 2 species